GACGAACGCUGGCGGCGUGCUUAACACAUGCAAGUCGAACGGAAAGGCCCUGCUUUUGUGGGGUGCUCGAGUGGCGAACGGGUGAGUAACACGUGAGUAACCUGCCCUUGACUUUGGGAUAACUUCAGGAAACUGGGGCUAAUACCGGAUAGGAGCUCCUGCUGCAUGGUGGGGGUUGGAAAGUUUCGGCGGUUGGGGAUGGACUCGCGGCUUAUCAGCUUGUUGGUGGGGUAGUGGCUUACCAAGGCUUUGACGGGUAGCCGGCCUGAGAGGGUGACCGGCCACAUUGGGACUGAGAUACGGGCCAGACUCCUACGGGGGGCAGCAGGGGGGAAUAUUGCACAAUGGGCGGAAGCCUGAUGCAGCAACGCCGCGUGCGGGAUGACGGCCUUCGGGUUGUAAACCGCUUUCGCCUGUGACGAAGCGUGAGUGACGGUAAUGGGUAAAGAAGCACCGGCUAACUACGUG
rnacentral:rRNA from 1 species